rnacentral:rRNA from 1 species
AGUGAACGCUGGCGGUAGGCCUAACACAUGCAAGUCGAACGGCAGCACAGUAAGAGCUUGCUCUUACGGGUGGCGAGUGGCGGACGGGUGAGGAAUACAUCGGAAUCUACUUUUUCGUGGGGGAUAACGUAGGGAAACUUACGCUAAUACCGCAUACGACCUACGGGUGAAAGCAGGGGAUCUUCGGACCUUGCGCGAUUGAAUGAGCCGAUGUCGGAUUAGCUAGUUGGCGGGGUAAAGGCCCACCAAGGCGACGAUCCGUAGCUGGUCUGAGAGGAUGAUCAGCCACACUGGAACUGAGACACGGUCCAGACUCCUACGGGAGGCAGCAGUGGGGAAUAUUGGACAAUGGGCGCAAGCCUGAUGAAGCCAUGCCGCGUGUAUGAAGAAGGCCUUCGGGUUGUAAAGCUCUUUUGGCGGGGAAGAAAGGAGGAAAGUUAAUACCUUUGUUCAUUGACGUUACCCGAAGAAGAAGCACCGGCUAACUCCGUG